UGGGGAAUCUUGCGCAAUGGACGAAAGUCUGACGCAGCCACGCCGCGUGAGUGAAGAAGGCCUUCGGGUUGUAAAGCUCUGUCGGAAGGGACGAAAAUGGUUGAGGUUAACAGCCUCAGCAACUGACGGUACCUUCAAAGGAAGCACCGGCUAACUCUGUGCCAGCAGCCGCGGUAAUACAGAGGGUGCAAGCGUUGCUCGGAAUUAUUGGGCGUAAAGGGUAGGUAGGUGGUCUGAUUUGUCUGUUGGUGAAAUCCCGGGGCUUAACUCCGGAAGUGCCACAGAAACGGUCAGACUUGGAGUACUGGAGAGGUGAGCGGAAUUCCCGGUGUAGCGGUGAAAUGCGUAGAGAUCGGGAGGAACACCAGCGGCGAAGGCGGCUCACUGGACAGUUACUGACACUCAACUACGAAAGCGUGGGGAGCAAACAG
rnacentral:rRNA from 1 species